AGAAGUAGUUUUGGGGAGCGGGGCGGCGAGGCUGUGAGAUGGGAGAGGAGUUGGUGCGCUCAGCCCCGGCACCCCUGCUCCUGCUCCGCAGAAGUGGCUCCGGGCUCUGGGAAGGCAGCAGGGCAUGUUCAGCCCAUGCUCCUCAGCAGAACUGUUGCUUGCCGGAGCGGUGGCAGAAUUUAUUCCUUUCCACGCAGUCCUCCAGCAUCGCCGUGAGCGCGACUGCUGAGCGCGCCCAUCCCCGGGAGCGCAGAGCACCUGGCUGGCCGGGGUGCAGCCGAAAGGAGAUCAUUCGCCUGCUCACAGGGACCACCUCCACUUCACUUUGUGAAGGAACUUCCAGGGUGGGAAAGCUCCUUGUUUUGCAGCGAAUAUUGGAAAAUAAAAGCUGUUGCUUGUAGAAGGGAGACAUUCCUGAGCGCGUUAGGUAAUCGGUGACUGUGCUGCAGGAGCACAGAGCAGCCACCUAUGUUUCUUCAAAAAGAGCUUUACUUUGAUUUGAAUUGGGGCAACUUGUCCAAGAAUAAUAGAGAUAAAUGGGACCAGAAGCUGAGAAAGCAGCAGUUCUCACUGUGCCUGUGUCUCUGACAGAGGCCAGGAAGAUGCAGGCAAGCACUUGAAGAAUUGUAUCAUGUCAGUUUCUCUCUUUUACUUGCAAGUCUGGGGGACAAGUAAAUAGACUUGAUUUCGGUGUUUUGGAGGUGUUUAAUGCUAAUGGCACACCACCUCUAUACCUUUUUUCAAGUCCUCAUUAGUAUAAUUGAUGUGAUUUUUCAUCUUUGCUUUCUAAUUAUUUUAUUUAGGUUAUUAUGGGCUUGAUCCAGAAAAGCACAUCAUCUCCUGCAAAGUAAAGGCCCCUCUCUGAUAUUGUUGGUCUUUUUCCACGUUCUGGAGACAUGCUGCGAGAACAUGCAUGCGUUAUCUGACAGUGGGUGAUAGAAGAAAAGAAAAAAAGCAAAAAAAUAAAAGCACAGCCCUCCUAUUCUGCUCUCCCCAGCCUAGAUGGAUCCAACGUCACAUGGAGGGGAUCCAGGGUGAGUCAGGAAACAGUGCUGUGGUCCAAAAUUCCACUUUGCAUUACAGCUGGGAGGCAGCGUUUAGCAUCAUGUGGAUUUAUUUUCCUUUGAUGGGAACUGCAAAAUAA